CCCUUAGAUGUUCUGGGCCGCACGCGCGCUACACUGAUGAAUUCAACGAGCUCCUAACCUAGGCCGAAGGGUCCGGGUAAUCUUUGAAAUUUCAUCGUGAUGGGGAUAGAUUAUUGCAAUUAUUAAUCUUCAACGAGGAAUUCCUAGUAAGCGCGAGUCAUCAGCUCGCGUUGAUUACGUCCCUGCCCUUUGUACACACCGCCCGUCGCUCCUACCGAUUGAAUGGUCCGGUGAAAUGUUCGGACCGCGACAAGGCGGACGGUUCGCUGUCAGCUUUGCUGCGGAAAGUUCAUUAAACCUUAUCAUUUAGAGGAAGGAGAAGUCGUAACA
rnacentral:rRNA from 1 species